UUUGUUAUAAGAAAAUUUUUUAAGUCUCUAAUUUUUCUGUAAAUAAACUGAUUGUUAACUAUAAAAAAUUAACAUAUCAUUGGCGACAAUUAUCAUAUACUUCUAUCAGCGUUCUGUUAUAAAAUGAUACAUUUAUUUUGAUAAUACUUAAAUGCUAUAGGAAGCUUUCCAGCAAAAAACACAUGCACAUAUAUCGACACAGAAGUCGUUCUGUCUUUCAUAGAUAUUAAGAAAAAUAGAAACAGGAUAACUUUGGUAUGUAACUCGCUGAAAAGCAUCCACUGUUUGGUCAUGAUGAUGUGACUUGAUGUGACAGUACAAAUAAAUAUCUCCUCUUUUGAGUUAUUUGGCUUUACUUUUAUUUUUCGAAACUAACGCAGUAGAUAUUUCCACAGGUAUAUUUCUUUACAGUUGUUAAAUUAGUAUUUUGUAUCGUUUUAUUUUUCUAUCAUUAUUUUCCAUGAUGCAACAUCAUGCUAUUACUAUAUUAUUUUAUAUCUCUAAACACUCAAGGACAGAAUGAUAAUACUGAUAACACAUUCGCAAAACGCAGCCUAGCUCUGGAGAAGUAUGUUCCUUUAUAUAUGUAUAUAAACACUUACGUUAGCGGUUGACGAGCAUUGCAAUUUUUAGCGAAAUAAGUUGCUGAAGUGAGUAAAAAGGAAUGAAUCUAAGUGAAACAAGAGCAAUAAGCGAAAAAAAACAGAAGAGACAGGCAAGAGUGAGGAAAUAGAGUGAGAGAGACAAAAGUAUAUAUAAAAUUAAUAUAAGAAAUUACACGAACAUUCAAGUUCAGUAUCUAACAUAGGCAAAAACAACGCUGGCGUUAGCACUUCUAAUAACAAUUCGAGAAACCUAUUCACAACUAACGUUAUGAACAACUUUAAUCAGAAUAUUAUAACGAUUCAGAAUGAUAGUCGCGGGAACACGAAUCAGAGCAAUUCUAAUUCCAGAGCUCUCAAAAGGCCUACAACCAACAGAAGGUGCGGAAUUUGCAGAGAAGAAGGUCAUACGAGGAAUAAUUG